CAAUAGCGUAUAUUAUAGUUGUUGCAGUUAAAAAGCUCGUAGUUGGACUUCUGAUGUGGGGAUUCGGUCCACCGCAAGGUGAGCACUGAUGUCCUUGCGUCUUCCUCUCGUAGUUGUUUGGCGCACUUAGUUGGGUGCCAGAUGAAUAUGGGACCUUUACUUUGAAAAAUUAGAGUGUUCAAAGCAGGCCUAUGCUCUGAAUAGGUUAGCAUGGAAUAAUAGAAUAGGACUUCGGUACUAUUUUGUUGGUUUCUAGGACCGAAGUAAUGAUUAAUAGGGACAGUUGGGGGCAUUCAUAUUCCAUUGUCAGAGGUGAAAUUCUUGGAUUAACGGAAGAUGAACUACUGCGAAAGCAUCUGCCAAGGAUGUUUUCAUUGAUCAAGAACGAAAGUUAGGGGAUCGAAGACGAUCAGAUACCGU
rnacentral:rRNA from 1 species